CCCAUGCCUCCUAACUUUCAACAUCCCAUGAUCAUCAGCCAGGCCAAGGAGUAUGCCAGGAGGCUGACAGAGCAUCAGUUUGAGGCCCCCAGCUCCAAACAGCCUGAACCAUGGGAGGUGGUGGCGGAGGUGGUCCACAAAGUCCUGCAGGGCUUCUGGGACUAUCCUCCGCUGUUGGAGUCACAAAGGGACCAGGUCUAAGCUGCUCUGUCCUCCAUAUUCAUGCGGUUCACGUACACUCGUGCCAUGCGAUAUGAUCCGGUCUAUCCAGGAGAAAGGUUUUCUUGUCACCACUGCUGAACCACCACUGUUGUACAGUAUCCUGGAUGCAGCUCCCGCACCCUCUACUAAUGGAUGUCCUUCCAUCCCUACAGUCCACCAAACCCAGACUAGACCUCAACUGCUGACUACAUCCAGCCCAGAGGCCGGGUCUUCUGUGGCUCAUCCACCCUCACCUGUUAACGCUAUAGAUGAAGCUCCAGCUAAUGUUCAGGUUCCAUUUACAUUUUCAUUGCUUUAUUUCAGUUUGAUUUGUUUUCAUUUUUAUUUCAUGGUUCAUUUACGUAGUUCCUUUUCUCUGCUGCAUGUUACAUCAUUUCCAUGCAUGGCAUCUUUGUUUAUGUUAAUUUAUUUAUUUUUUUGUUUAUUUUAGUUUCAAUUAGGUUUUAUUCCAUAUUAUUUCAUUUUCAUUGUUUACCAUUUCACUUACAUUUUUGUUUUCAUUAUUCAUUUCAUUUUCAUUUUUUGUUGUUUAGUUUGAUGUUUUUGUGCACUGUAUGUUGUUGUGAAUGCUGACUUCAGGUUCUC